rnacentral:rRNA from 1 species
UAACCGGAUUAGAUACCCUGGGUAGUCCACGCCGUAAACGAUGAGUGCUAGCUGUUGGGUGGUUUACCAUUCAGUGGCGCAGCUAACGCAUUAAGCACUCCUCCUGGGGAGUACGGUCGCAAGAUUAAAACUCAAAGGAAUUGACGGGGGCCCGCACAAUCGGUGGAGCAUGUGGUUUAAUUCAAUGCAACUCACAGAACCUUACCAGCCCUUGACAUGUAUAGGACGAUAUCAGAGAUGGCAUUUUCUUUUCGGAGACCUUUACACAGGUGCUGCAUG